rnacentral:rRNA from 1 species
ACAGAGGUGGCGAACGUUGUUCGGAUUUACUGGGCGUAAAGGGUCCGUAGGCGGCUUGGUUUGUCAAAUGUGAAAGCUCACAGCUCAACUGUGGAAUUGCAUUCGAAACUGCCGGGCUAGAGUACUGGAGGGGAGAAGGGAACACUUAGUGUAGCGGUGAAAUGCGUAGAUAUUAAGUGGAACACCGGUGGCGAAGGCGCUUCUCUGGACAGAUACUGACGCUCAUGGACGAAAGCUAGGGUAGUGAAAGG